CAGUUUAAUAUACGAUAUAGUAUAUAUAUACAUUUCAUUGUUGCAUACUCGUCGAUAUUUGAAGAGGUUGACAAUCUGAAAGAUAAUGCAUUUGUCUUGUUCGCAUUGGUCAAAGAACUUUCAGAAACCGACAAAGAUUCAAUUUGGCGCGGCGGGUGUGAGAACUGAAUUUCAACUUCGCUCAUGCAAGCUGACGUCAUCAUGGGCUGAUGCAUGCUCGGAAGAUCUCAAAUAUAUCAUCAAUUUCAAAAAGGUAAAGAAAAUUUCCUGGUGUUCGAGUGUUUGAGAAGACCGGCUAGGACAUCAAUCAACUAAGGUCCACUGAACGUAUCGUAUUGCUUGUCGUUCAUGUUCGUUAUACGAACACAUCUUGAUGUAGAAUCAGAGCCAUCGGGUGAAGUGCAAAGGGCGCGAAGAUGGAAGAUAGGACUCUUCGCUUCGCUAGAUGGAUAUUUCAUUUGUGUGAUAUCAUCAACAGAAGAUGAGCGUUAGUUAUAUUCAAUAAUAUUUGCCAAUGCAUAACUUAAUUCGACUGAUUCAGCCUAAUUACCGAAUCCAUAUCAAUUGACUUGAAAAUCCUUUUCCAAUGAUAUGAAACGGCUGGUUUGAAUUGACAAAUGCAAUAAAUUUGGCCAAAAACGAUAUUUGCCUAAAUUAACAACUUUACGCAAAUGUGAAAUGACUAUAUAUAUCUCAGAUUGAUCUGAAAUGGGGCGUUAAGUAACAAAGUUGUCUAACAGAAUAAAAAACAAAUUCGACUGUCGAAAAGUUCCGAAACUGUGAUCUGAGAGCUAUGAGUUGAUGAUAUAAGUUAUGUGAAUCGGACCAGCAAAAUAUAGAUGACUUGAAAAUUUGACAUUAUCUUGCUCACCAAAAUCUUGCAUAAGGAUAAAGGACUAUUUCGAAGGACUUAUAUAUUUAUCUUGGGGUAAGAGGUACGCCAAUGUGACAACUUAAUCACAUGGCGAACCACGGCCUCUCGUCUACCAUUUCAUCUCGAGUAUGGAAUUAUUAAGCCAGGUUUUUGUUUCGGAUGUAUGGACUGGGUUUCAGAUGUAUGGAAUUGGUGGCGAAGGAAGCCAUAACGAGCCACGGCCUCUCGUUCGGCUACCAUUUCAUAUCGAGUAUAGAACUACUACGUUAUUUGUUUCGGAGGUAUUGGCUGGGUUUUAGAUGCAUUGACUUCGUGGGGAAGAAAGCCAUAGCGAAGCACGGCCUCCCGUUUGGUUACCAUUUUAAAUCGAAUUACUAAGCUAGUUAUUUGUUUCGGAUGUAUGGACUCUGUUUCAGAUACAAGGAAUCGGUGGCGAAGGAAGCCAUAACGAACCACGGCCUCGCGUUCGGUUACCAUUCCAUAUCGAGUGUAGAAUCGCUAAUCCAGUUAUUUGUUUCGGAUGUACGGACUUGGUUUCAAAUGCAUGAACUUGAUGGUUAAGGAAGUCAUAACCAACCAGCGGUCACCUGAACUACACUCACUGAUAAAUUUGGCGUCGAACACCAAUUGGUUUAACAAAAACUUGAAAUAAUAUGAGAUGAAAGAUUCAAUUUGGUGCUAAAAAUAAGCUGCGCCAUCAAACAUUUCGACUCUACACAGUUCCCAAUAAUGUUCCAAAUUUAUUGAAAUGACUGUUUCGAAUUUGCACUAAAAUUGAGUUAACCGACUUUAAAAUGGUAAAAGCUUCUAAUGCUUCCAAAUGGUUGGUUUAAAUUUGCGACUAAAAAA